AACUCUAAGAAACUACUUAUUCUUUAAACCGUCUUUUAACUAAUUAUCAUCAUCAUUAACACUCGUGGAAAAAAAAUAAAGAUGAUGAACUGCAAAAUUUUUGGACUCUUUAUGUUGAUUGCUGCAAUUUUAAUAAUGACACCAACAACAUUGGCCCAGUGUAUUCGUAGCAGGAAGAGAUGUGAACCUGACAGAAGUUGGACUGACGGCGGAAGAAAUAAUGGACUCUGUUGCUCUGGUUUUUGUAGCAAACAACUAAAUUGGGAACCUGGUUAUUGUCAAUAAAAAUAAGUUUUAAGACACUUAUAUUUUGGAUAUUCUGAAAAUCAUUUAAAAAAAAGUUGAUUAAAAUUUAUUCCAGUAAUA